rnacentral:rRNA from 1 species
CCUACGGGCUGCAGCAGUGGGGAAUAUCGCACAAUGGGCGCAAGCCUGAUGCAGCCAUGCUGCGUGUAUGGAGAAGGCCUUCGGGUUGUAAAGUACUUUCAGCGGGGAGGAAGGUGUUGUGGUUAAUAACCACAACAAUUGACGUUACCCGCAGAAGAAGCACCGGCUAACUCCGUGCCAGCAGCCGCGGUAAUACGGAGGGUGCAAGCGUUAAUCGGAAUUACUGGGCGUAAAGCGCACGCAGGCGGUCUGUCAAGUCGGAUGUGAAAUCCCCGGGCUCAACCUGGGAACUGCAUUCGAAACUGGCAGGCUAGAGUCUUGUAGAGGGGGGUUGAAUUCCAGGUGUAGCGGUGAAAUGCGUAGAGAUCUGGAGGAAUACCGGUGGCGAAGGCGGCCCCCUGGACAAAGACUGACGCUCAGGUGCGAAAGCGUGGGGAGCAAACAGGAUUAGAUACCCUCGUAGUC